AGUGAACGCUGGCGGUAGGCCUAACACAUGCAAGUCGAACGGCAGCACAGUAAGAGCUUGCUCUUACGGGUGGCGAGUGGCGGACGGGUGAGGAAUACAUCGGAAUCUACUUUUUCGUGGGGGAUAACGUAGGGAAACUUACGCUAAUACCGCAUACGACCUACGGGUGAAAGCAGGGGAUCUUCGGACCUUGCGCGAUUGAAUGAGCCGAUGUCGGAUUAGCUAGUUGGCGGGGUAAAGGCCCACCAAGGCGACGAUCCGUAGCUGGUCUGAGAGGAUGAUCAGCCACACUGGAACUGAGACACGGUCCAGACUCCUACGGGAGGCAGCAGUGGGGAAUAUUGGACAAUGGGGGCAAGCCUGAUCCAGCCAUACCGCGUGGGUGAAGAAGGCCUUCGGGUUGUAAAGACCUUUUGUUGGGAAAGAAAAGCAGCAGGUUAAUACCCCGCUGUUCUGACGGUACCCAAAGAAUAAGCACCGGCUAACUUCGUG
rnacentral:rRNA from 1 species